rnacentral:rRNA from 1 species
GACGAACGCUGGCGGCGUGCUUAACACAUGCAAGUCGAACGGAAAGGCCCUGCUUUUGUGGGGUGCCCGAGUGGCGAACGGGUGCGUAACACGUGAGUAACCUGCCCUUGACUUUGGGAUAACUUCAGGAAACUGGGGCUACUACCGGAUAGGAGCCCCUGCUGCAGGGAGGGCGUUGGAACGUCUCGGCGGUUGGGGAUGGACUCGCGGCUUAUCAGCUAGUUGGUGGGGUAGUGGCUUACCAAGGAUUUGACGGGUAGCCGGCCUGAGAGGGUGACCGGCCACAUUGGGACUGAGAUACGGCCCAGACUCCUACGGGAGGCAGCAGUGGGGAAUAUUGCACAAUGGGCGGAAGCCUGAUGCAGCAACGCCGCGUGCGGGAUGACGGCCUUCGGGUUGUAAACCGCUUUCGCCUGUGACGAAGCGUGAGUGACGGUAAUGGGUAAAGAAGCACCGGCUAACUACGUG